rnacentral:rRNA from 1 species
UACGGAGGAUCCAAGCGUUAUCCGGAUUUAUUGGGUUUAAAGGGUGCGUAGGCGGCGCGCUAAGUCAGGGGUGAAAGACGGCAGCUUAACUGUCGCAGUGCCUUUGAUACUGGCGCGCUUGAAUGUACAUGAGGUAGGCGGAAUGAGACAAGUAGCGGUGAAAUGCAUAGAUAUGUCUCAGAACACCGAUUGCGAAGGCAGCUUACUAAGGUAUUAUUGACGCUGAUGCACGAAAGCGUGGGGAUCAAACAGGAUUAGAUACCCUGGUAGUCCACGCCCUAAACGAUGAUAACUCGAUGUCGGCGAUACACAGUCGGUGUCUUAGCGAAAGCGUUAAGUUAUCCACCAGGGGAGUACGCCCGCAAGGGUGAA